CCUACGGGGGGCAGCAGUGGGGAAUAUUGGACAAUGGGGGGAACCCUGAUCCAGCCAUGCCGCGUGUGUGAAGAAGGCCCUCGGGUUGUAAAGCACUUUCAGUGAGGAAGAACGCCUGGUGGUUAAUACCCAUCAGGAAAGACAUCACUCACAGAAGAAGCACCGGCUAACUCCGUGCCAGCAGCCGCGGUAAUACGGAGGGUGCGAGCGUUAAUCGGAAUUACUGGGCGUAAAGCGCGCGUAGGUGGCUUGAUAAGCCGGUUGUGAAAGCCCCGGGCUCAACCUGGGAACGGCAUCCGGAACUGUCAAGCUAGAGUGCAGGAGAGGAAGGUAGAAUUCCUGGUGUAGCGGUGAAAUGCGUAGAGAUCGGGAGGAAUACCAGUGGCGAAGGCGGCCUUCUGGACUGACACUGACACUGAGGUGCGAAAGCGUGGGUAGCAAACAGGAUUAGAUACCCCUGUAGUC
rnacentral:rRNA from 1 species